AGAGAUGGAGUCUUACUCUGUUCCCAUGCUGGUCUCAAACUCCUGGGCUCAAGUGAUUCUCCAGCAUCAGCCUCCACAGUAGCUGGGACUGCAGCCACGUGAGGUUAGGGGCUACCAUAAUGGAUGACACAGAUCUAAGACUUCUGGACAUCUUGCAGAACAUCACAUUUAUCCAUUACAUCAAUGACAUCAUGUUGACUGGGCUGGAAGAAGAAGAGGUUUUCAACACAUGCUAUUUCAUCUUCCUCUGCCUGGUCCAGUGCCUCUGUUUCCUCCAACUUGAAGCUCCCUAGACCCCAAUUCAUCCAGUUGAGCAAGUAGAAUUCACUCCACCUGGGUUCCCAUCCAAUGGGCCUAGUCACUUUGCAAAGCUAAAACAAUCUGCUGCAAGCAACUCACUUAAGGGAGAGGCAAUUUGUAUUAGAAAGAUUAGUGCUGACUUUCAUCCACAGCAAAACCAUUUUGCUACAACACAGCCCUUUUUGUAAGCAGGAGCCCGAUCCUGCCACAGAGCCGAGCGUGAAUGCUGCUGAUCUCCUUGGACAAGACUGCUGGGGCCUUUGGGAAGAGCAUGUGGCCACAUGUCAGUUUGCUUCUUUGACAAGUCUCUACUGUCUUUACCCCAGAAAGCCUGGACAAUUGUAUUUUGUAAAAUAUUUUCAAAUCUGCUUCCA